CACACCAUCAAUUAUUUUAGUGAGUGUGUGUGGUCUAUUUACUAUGAUACUCUACAUAUCAUAGUCAAGUGCUUGAAUAAAGAUUUUCAUCUGAGCUUUUCAAUAGGUAUAAUUUGACCCAUUAAAAAGUGAAGGUCAGUUUGUGGACUGCUCCUCGACUAGUGAAGCACUAACUUGAGUUGCCAUAGAUCUUUAGCUUUUUGAUGGU
rnacentral:lncRNA from 1 species